UCCUGUAUCCGAAAGUGAUCUUGGGUUGCCUGUGCCUCGAUCAUUGGUAGUGCAGGGAGAGGAACAUUGAAAGACUUUUCCCCACAUUCGGAGGCACCACCUCAUCACUUCCGAACCCUGGAGCUUUCGCACA
ensembl:snoRNA SNORA71 Small nucleolar RNA SNORA71